CUCAUCCAGGAGCGGAGACGGCGGAGAGAGGAUCUCCCGGCGUGGAGGCGCACACCGCGGGAGGGGGGGGCAAGAAAUGAUGCCCUGCUAUCGCCGGUAGCCGCGGUGCUUCCGUGCGGACACUUGUGACCCCGUUUUCCCCUUUUUAAGCCUCUCCAUCUCCUAACCAAAAACCACCGGAGCACUCGCGUCGGUCUUCACCGGACUCAUGAUGACCAAAACCGGGACACUGAUUCUUCUCUGUGCGUUCCUGGGCUCCGGGGAACUCCAGGCGCAGGAGCAAGACCCCCGCAGGCUUCUUCCCCCGCCAGCUACGUUGGACUUCGGCUACGUUCCCUCGGGGGUCUACGAGACGGUGGCCCACUACGAACCCGGACCCAUCGGGAUCCUGUUCCACAUGGUGCACACUUGGCUGUGCCUGGUCCAGCCCAACGACUUCCCGCAAGAUCUCCUGGUCCGAUUGGCCAAGGACAGGUUUGGAAACAUUCAGACUGAAUACCAGAAGCCUGAGAACAUAGUGCUGAGCCUGCAGGCCAUCUACUACGAGAUGGGCUUCCUGGUGUGCGCCGUGGUGGGUGCGCUCUUCACCGUCCUGGUGCCCGUGGUGGGCCUCUUCUUCUGCAUGUGCCGCUGCUGCGACAACUGCGGCGGCGAGAUGCACCAGCGCCAGAGGAAGAACGCCGACUGCCGGCGCGGCCUGCUGGGGACGCUGCUCUUCUCCACCUCGCUGGUCAUCACGAUCGGCGUGUUGUGCGCGUACGCCGCCAACCAGAACCUCAGCGCUCAAAUCAAGAACAUCCGCCGUCUGGUCAACAGCAACAUGAGGGACCUGCACACCUUUGCCAACGACACGCCCAUGCAAAUUGAUUACCUGUCCUCCCAAUAUGCCACAGCCAAGAACCAAGUCCUGUACGACCUGGAGAACAUAGGUCCGCUAUUAGGUGGAAGGAUACGCAAUCAGUUAGAUAAGGAGGUGCAGCCCGCCAUGGACGCCGUGCUGAAGAUGACGGGAGUGAAAAUCGACAGAGCCAUCAAAGCCAUGCGGGAGACCAAGGAGGCCCUGGAGAACGUCAGCGUGUCGCUGCAAGUCCUGCAGGAGGGCACGGGCAAGCUCAACUUCAACCUGAGCCUGGUGAGGGCCAGCAUCAACCGCACUCUCAACGACCCCGGCUGCCACGACGAGGAGUCGGACGCCACCUCCGCCCAGCUGUGCCGCAACAUCCGCCAGUCGCUGUCGCAGCUGCAGAUCAGCGCCAACUUCACGCGGCUUCCCAACGUGAAUUCUCAGCUGGAGAAGAUGAACGCCGUGUUGAAGACUGAUCUCAGUGGCGUCGUUCACAAGGGUUACGCCUCCUUGAACGACACCCCUUAUACGGUGAUGGUACAGACCAGAAACAUUGUACACAGGGUCCAGAGUUUGGUGAGCGACAUCGGCAGCAACAUCAGCAACUUCUCCAAAGCUUUCCCGGUGCAGAGCUCGCUCUCCAACUUCACCAUCUUCAUCAGCCACGCCCACGCCAAGAUCGAGGACCACUACCCCGACAUCGACCGACUGGACUUCUACAGGUGGAUCGGCUGCGUGGCUCUGUGCUGCAUGGUGGUCCUGGUGCUGGCCUUCAACUACCUGGGCCUGCUGUGCGGCACGCUGGGAUACGACAAGCACGCCUCGCCCACCACCCGGGGAUGCAUCUCCAACACGGGAGGAACCAUGCUGAUGGCCGGCGUGGGCUUCAGCUUCAUCUUCUCCUGGGUGCUCAUGGGCCUCCUGACCGCCAUCUUCCUGCUCGGGGGAAACAUGGAGAAGCUCAUCUGUGAGCCGUUUCACUCCAGAGAACUCUUUAAGGUUGUAGACGCUCCGUACAUGGUGAACCCCGAGUGGAGGAACUUCAUCCCGGGAUACAUGUACAACGACUCGGAGCUGGAGCUCACUGCAGAGAGCCUGUACAGUACUUGCAAAGAAAACAAAGGUAUUUACUCCGCCCUGCGUCUGGACAAAGUCUUCAACGUCUCCUCUUUCCUGAACAACACAUUGUUCACAAAAGAUGUUGCAGCUCAUUUGAGCGGCGUCAAAAUUGACCUGAGAGGAAUCAUCUUGUUGGAAGCGGAGGGCAAGCAGAACCUUCUGGAUUUUUCAGAGGCGGGACUUUCGGAAACCAACUAUGCCGACUACCUGGAGGAGGUCAACAAAGGCGUGACAGUGGAGGACCUGCUUUCAUUUGCCAAAGAGCUGGAAGCCCAGACGGACCUCAUGCCUAGGGGCCGUCUGCAAAGCGCUUUGAAAGGUCACGUGGGCACAGUCAGACAGAUCCACAACCAGCAGGUGGUCCCCAUGCAGCAGGCCAUGAAAUAUGUUAGAGCCAGGAGCGCCCUGAACCAGAGCAUGAGGUUCCUGGAGAGGACGGCGUCAGACCUGCCGAACAAAGUGUUAGCGGUGCUGGAUGCUGUGGAUGCUGUGCAGUAUCUCAUCUCCCACAAUGCAACACACCUCAUUAACCGGGAAACGGCUAAAUACGCAGCAGCCAUUGUGGGAUACUUCCAACAGUACAUCGAGUGGGUAAAGACGUCGCUCGCUAUGGAGGUGGCGCCGUGCAAGCCCUUCAGCAACAUGCUGGAUACGGUGGAAAUCAUCACCUGCAGCUUCCUGGUGGACUCCAUGAACGUGUUCUGGAUGGGUCUGGGCUGCAGCACGCUCUUCCUCAUCCCCAGCGUCAUCCUGGCCGUCAAGCUGGCCAAGUUCUACCGCAGGAUGGACACGGAGGACGUUUACGACGAUAUGGAAAGUGGUAAUAAUGGUUAUCAUAUGGAGCCCUCACAAGGCAUCCUAAACCCCCCCAUGACCAGCAUCCCGACCUAUGACACCAUGAACAGGUUCCCGCGGGCCUCGGCUCCUCCGAGGCACAUCGACUGGUGACGGAGAGCCGUGGUUUGUGGUUCCUCACAGGCUUCUUUUAGGGCUUUUCUUCUUCCGACAGCGACAUCACGCGGCCAUGACGGCUGGAGCUAAAGCGGCGCACGGAUUCUUCUGUAGUGAAAGUUUGGACCUGACUGAACUGAACUGAAGUGAAAAUGAGGAAGAACUUUGGGAGCCCGUGGAUUGUUUUCAUCUCCAUCUUUCCUCGGCCAAGACCUUUCCGCAGGACAUCAAACUUCCGCUCCUCCAACCGGGCCGGUCUGGAUCCGGAUGGGCUGCCACCUCUCUGUUUACAUUGGUCUCAAACUGGACUUGACGCUAUUUCACCACAACCGUGACGCUAAGUAGUCACAUGAAGGUAACCACGCCAUGCUAACGGCUGUGCUAAUGAGAUGGCUUGCUUAUUGUUGCUUUAUCAAAACGGACGCAAAUAAUGUUUGGUAUUUGCACCAUGUUGGCACCAAUGAAAAAAAAUAGACGGACUGUAUCUAGCGUGACUUUCAAUGUUUACAAUAUGAAUAUGAAUAAUAAUAGAAGGUCGCUCGUUGCAUAAAGACUGGUUGCCUUUAACUUUGGCAUUUACUGCUUUUUAAAGGGACGCUUCGCCCUGAGACGCGCUUACGCUUCUUUAGAAGUAUCGUGUUGUUAGCUUAGGCAUUUUUGAUAACGCUGUACGCUUCUGCAAAUUUCGCCACAACUCCAAGCGUUGAAAUUCAUCAUCGUCCUUCCGUCCGAACAUUUGUGCAGCGAACACGGGUCACAAUUUUAUGAGGAUCACGUUCAAAUUUAAUGCCUUCAUAAGCGUGCUCCAGAUCUCCUCAUCGGCCAAAAACUGUAUCGUUUCUUUGAUUUUUGAUGAAGUUAUUUUCCUUAGUUGAAGUCAGUCAAAAAGUUGACAUUAGCGUACAGUAAACCUCGGAUAUAUCGGACUCUGAUAUAUCGGAAAUUCGCUCACAACGGACAGAUAAAAAAGAACCAAUUUUUCUGUAAUGCAUUUCCAAUAAAAAUUCAUUGCAUAUAUCAGCUUUUUUAUAACGGAUUUCGCCUAUUUCGGACAAAAUCUCCAGUCCCGUUCCAAUGCAUUUCCAUUAAAUUUCCCUCGCAUAUAUCGGAUGGCCGCAUCGUGGCGCUCCGAAUCGUGACAGGCCGCUAUACGACGUCAUUUGCAGCGUUUGCAGCGUUGCCUGCGCGUCCAGGUACAUUGGAAAGGAACAAGGAAGUGCCUUUUUAUAACGGAUAAAAUCCGAUUUACGCAUAUACCGGAUAUAAAUCCGAUAUAUGCGUAAAACGGACAUUUUCCGGUAUACGCAUAUAACGGAUUUCGCUUAUAUCGGACAAAACCAGUGGGAACAAUUGAAUCCGAUAUAUCCGAGGUUUACUGUAUUACGUUUACAUUGAUAUAAAUGUUGCGGAGGAGGUCUCUCUUGGUGAUACAUUGUGGUCAUCUACAACCAGUUUAUGACCAAUUCACGCCAUUUGCAUACUACAAAAUAAAAUACAGUUUAACCAAAGAGUGACUUCACAGCCUGCGAAUCAAACUUUUAACUAACUAUAAAUAUUUCAAGAAAAAACAUGCGUAACUUUGCUUUUUAUGUUAUUCAUCAACAUUCCGAAUCCUCUGAUUUAUCCCAGCAUCCUUACCUGUCACUAUUUGGAGAACAAUCACAUCGGUUUUCCCACAAAUGAAUCAAAAACGAUUAUUAUUUUCAUUCAAAAUACGAAUAAGGUGAAAGAAUAUCUGCUUUAUAUCAUUUUGGUAACAUUUUAUGUCUUUUUUUAACAAUUCAAUGUAAUUACAUCGGUGACGAUACUUACAAAAUGGAGAAUUGUUCUUCUCAAGCCAAAUUCUAUUUUUUACCGUAGAUCUCAGGUGGUUUUUAGCACGCGCUUGUUAACUACCCGCUAGUUUGUUGUUGUUUUUUUUAAUGAAUCUAUCAUGACGUUAAAUAUGGAUACAUUUAUGGAAUACACCUUAGAAGAAGCGAAUGUAUUCAAGUUUUGUUUUUCUGUGCGAUGAAACUGAUGCUAACGCAUCCUGGGUGAUGUACGCACCUUCAUGCUAGUUGCUGCUGUUGAUGUUUAAAAAAAGGACAAUCUAUCCAUUGGAUUGAUAUUAUGAUAUUAUGAUAUUAUGGGAUGUGAUGGUGUUGACACGACGCAUACUGUGACAAAUGUUCAAAUGUGAAACGACGGCCUCUGCUUUCCGCAACUUGCUAAUCUAGCAAGCUAGCAAGUGUCUAAGAAUGCUAUCUUGUAAGAAGACAUUAAGCUAGGCUAAUUGAACUUCUUGAUUUAUUUGGGAUUUAUUUGUGUCAUGUCGAGUUGAAUCAAGUAUACAAAUGCCAUUAUUUGAUUUUUUAAUAAUUUUUUUAGAGUGUUUAAGAGCAUUUUCACACAGCUGGGAUGUUCUGUGUACCAGUUUUGUCUGACAAAUUGAAGUGUUACUAAUAUUAUUCCACUUUGUAGUAAUAUUUCCCUUUUUAGAUAUGAACUCUAACCUUUAUGAAGCAAAAAACUUCAUUAUAUUCAUAUUUGGUACCACCAUGUUUGGCUACAGAUUAGCUAGUAAACUAGCCAACCUUUUGUGCCCAUACAUUUACAUUUAAAUGAUGUAUGGCUAUAUUUCCACACUGUAAUUGUAUGUAUUGCGACAUAGUGCCCACAUUAACAUAGGGUCAUAUUUACGGUAUGUAUUAUAACGUUUGCAGAGAGGCGGAGGUGGUUAAUCGACAAGGUGUACGACAGUGUCGAGAUGUGCGAAUGCGAUGAACGAACCAUAGAAAACUCGUAAAUUUCGUACUUUUUCAAAGGAAUCUGGUUUCCCAUAACAACAAUUGCUACUCGAUCUAACCCGAAAACGCAAUCGGUUCUACGCAUGCGCAAGACCACAUCACUUUUUACGACGAUUUUCACGUACUGCGCAACAUAAAUGGUCAAUUACAAUAUAUUGUGACGGGUUAUUUUAGUGAUUCUUAAUCAAAUUUUUCGCUAACAUGCGGAUGUAGCACGUAGCGCAUACGCAGAUGUGCCACACAUUUGAACGUCACAUCCGGUCAAAUAUAAUCUACAUGAAUAAAUACAAAUAUUACAACGCAUAUAAAGUAAAACAUAAAUCAUGGUCAUAUUUGAAUGUCAAGUUUUGGAUUAAUCUAGAGCAGGGGUCAGCAACCCGCGGCUCCAGAGCCGCAUGUGGCUCUCCAGCCUCUUUGUUGCGGCUCCCUUUGCAAUGCUUGAAUAUUUUUUAGCACCCGUGUGGUGAAAAUGCACGUCUUUGUUAUGAGUUUACAAAAAUCCAACUUUGUGUGAGACCAUGAAUGCAUCCUGACUGAGUUCUGACUGGUGACUGAAUGAGCAUGAAGCGAAAUUAGAAGGGAAAUGAGUAAUACUUUGAGUUAUUAAUUAUUAUUAAUGAGUUAUUUGACGAUUCUAAAAAAUAAAUUAGAGCUCAUUUAAAAACAAAAGUUUAUCUCCAGUACUAGCAAGAGUACUCCAACUCGUCUUUUUUUUUCCCUCCAAUGUUGUUUUAAACAUACAACGUUUUGCGGCUCCAGGCUAUUUUUCUUUAGUGGGCAAGUGGGUGAAAUGGCUCUUUUCAUAGUAAAGGUUGCCGACCCCUGAUCUAGAGGAUUCAGCUAAUUUUGUUUUUCUAAACAGAGAAAUAUCGUCCAUCCAAACACUGCAUCUUUUCAUAAAAAAAUUUCGAUUAUAAAAAAAAAAAUAUGGAAUCACAAAAAGAAGACUUAUUUAUUGAUAUUGUUGCCGGAUAUUCACGCUAUAUGCCGUAAAAUAGACCAAUGGAUGACAUAGAUUACACAUACGUAGCACAAAUCCAAAGCCGAAAAAUAGGCCAAUCGGGUGUAGAUGCGGUCUGCGCAUGCGUACAACCGAUUGCGUUUCCGAUACGGACUGCGUAGCGUCGAUGGCUUUUCCCAUACCCAACCCCAUGAUGCGUUCAGGGCAACCCAAAACUGUCGGACACAACACAGAACACAAAUAUAACAGUUAUAACUCAACACAUGAUAAGUUGGAUUCCAUUAAAAUGGCUGUGUUGUAUUUUUUUUACAAAUCUGGAUGUAAAACAUUGACAGAGGGACGAUGUUUGAAAUGUUAUUUUUGUUUCCAAGUGCUGACAUGAGCGUGAGUAAAUUGUCAAUAAAGAUUGAUUUCAGCUUCUUCAUUGAAA